rnacentral:rRNA from 1 species
UCGAGCGGCAGCGCGAGUAGUUUACUACUUGGCGGCGAGCGGCGGACGGCUGAGUAACGCGUGGGAACGUACCCCAAAGUGAGGAAUAACCGCCCGAAAGGGUGGCUAAUGCCGCAUAUGAUCUUCGGAUUAAAGGAUUUAUCCGCUUUGGGAACGGCCUGCGUACGAUUAGAUAGUUGGUGGGGUAAAGGCCUACCAAGUCUACGAUCGUUAACUGGUCUGAGAGGAUGAUCAGUCAGACUGGAACUGAGAACGGUCCAGACUCCUACGGGAGGCAGCAGUGAGGAAUCUUCCACAAUGGGCGAAAGCCUGAUGGAGCAACGCCGCGUGCAGGAUGAAGGCCUUCGGGUCGUAAACUGCUUUUAUCUGUGAUGAAUAUGACAGUAACAGAAGAAUAAGCACCGGCUAACUACGUGCCAGCAGCCGCGGUCAUACGUAGGGUGCAAGCAUUAUCCGGAGUGACUGGGCGUAAAGAGUUGCGUAGGUGGUUUGUUAAGUGAAUAGUGAAAUCUGGUGGCUCAACCACACAGACUAUUGUUCAAACUGGCAAACUCGAGAAUAGCAGAUGUAACUGGAAUUUCUAGUGUAGGAGUGAAAUCCGUAGAUAUUAGAAGGAACACCAAUGGCGUAGGCAGGUUACUGGGCUAUUUCUGACACUGAAGCACGAAAGCGUGGGGAGCGAACCGGAUUAGAUACCCGGGUAGUCCACGCCGUANACGAUGGAUACUAGCUGUUGGAGNUAUCGACCCCUUCAGUAGCGAAGCUAACGCGUUAAGUAUCCCGCCUGUGGAAUACGGUCGCAAGACUAAAACAUAAAGGAAUUGA